rnacentral:rRNA from 1 species
UAGGGAAUAUUGCACAAUGGGGGAAACCCUGAUGCAGCGACGCCGCGUGAGUGAUGAAGGCCUUCGGGUCGUAAAGCUCUGUCGUAUGGGACUAACAAAAUGAAGGUACCAUGCAAGAAAGGAUCGGCUAACUUCGUGCCAGCAGCCACGGUAAGACGAGGGAUCCUAGCGUUGUUCGGAAUUAUUGGGCGUAAAGCGGGUGUAGGCGGACUUAUAAGUCAGGUGUGAAAUCCCAGGGCUCAACCCUGGAAGUGCACUUGAUACUGCAAGUCUUGAGUGUGGUAGAGGCUAUUAGAAUUCCUGGUGUAGUGGUGAAAUACGUAGAUAUCAGGAGGAAUACCGGAGGCGAAGGCGGAUAGCUGGGCCAACACUGACGCUGAGACCCGAAAGCGUGGGGAUCAAACAGGAUUAGAUACCCUCGUAGUCCCUGAGCGGGCUGGCAAGGCGCAU